AGCAGCAAAAGGGAGGCAGAUGUCUGAUUGAGACAACCGUAUAAAAGGAACAAAGGAAUAUACUCACUAAAGUUUCAUCAAUGACCCAAAAGAUCAUGAGGUGAUGAUGCAGAUUGAUUGUGAGGUGAUGGCCACCAGAAUAAUUCACAUAAAGUCAUCAUCUAUACCUUCCUUUCUGCGAGAGCGACGGGAGAAUCAUACUGAUUCAUACCAGCGUCCAUCACCUGCGCCUACCCAUGCAGCACCUCACAUCAUCACAGAGUCGACCCAUGGGAAUGUCUUCAAACUUUACCAAUAGUGCUUGGUUUAAACCAUAUAACAUCUUGAAUCUCUAGACUGUUUUCCAAAGGGUCAUAAGAUCUACUUUGAAUCUAAAGUAGCAUGUCAGUCAAUUCUUGUAUAACUUGGAAAACAAAAUUAUUAAAGAAGAUUUUUCUUUUUAAUUAGUGAAAAUCUUAGCCGAUGUAGUACAACUUAAAAACAAAAGCAGAAAUUGUGGAAAAGCUCAACAGGUCUGGCAGCAUCUGUGGAGAGAAAUCAGAGUUAAUGUUUUGGGUCCAGUGACCCAAGUUCUGAGGAAGGGUCGCUGGACCCAAAAUGUUAAUUCUGAUUUCUCACAACUGAUGCUGCCAGACCUGUUGAGCUUUUCCAACAAUCUCUGUUUCUGUUUCUGAUUUCCAGAAUUCGCAAUUCUUUCAGCUUUUAGUACAAAUUAACCCAGUUUGAUCUAUCUUGGGUGAUUCUGAUUAUCCACCUAACUUUUACAUGAGUCUGUAUUAAACUUGGGUCUAUUUAAAACAAAAUGUUGCUUUGAACAGAUUAUACUUGUGAAAUAUCAGAAUCUUUGGGAGUUGAAAUACUUGAAGGAGAAACCGACUAUAUGUAUUAGAUGAAAGCAAUAGUACUAAGCAUUCUUAAUCUUCUGCAAAACUGCUGUUACCAAAGCCAGCAUAUCAACAAGGUGAUAUAUCAGUGUAGCUUGAAAUAAAAAUAUGGAAUGGCUACAUGAAUUGAACUAUUAUACACUCCCAAAAAAAUUCAAAGACCACUAUAGAGCUUGUUUUCCUUUAAUUUUCCACUUUUGCUUGACAAGUUCCUUUCGAUAAUUUUGGCCAGUUUGUCUAUUCCAUGUAGGCUGGACCUGUGAUUGCAGCAACUAAAAAAUAUGCUGAAUAAUCUGAAGGAGGCCAUGCGCAGCAAUGUUGUGAAUGAAUUCUUUAAAAAUGUGGGAGAUUUCAGGUCUAUUCAACACUGGACACGUUUUCUCCUCCUAUCUCCUCCAACCCUGGUUGAAGACUCUCUCUGGAGCAUAAACCAAAGCUCCUAAAGAACUCAGGUACUUUGUCCUAGUUGUUUUGGUUGUUGUUUAAAUGCAAACCAAGUGAGUCCAGGCUAUUUGUCCAUUCCUGCAUGAUAUGAUUCCUGUCUACCUGCAGGGACUCUGAAUUGAUGAUCAAAGCAAAAAUCCUGGUUCACUUUUCUUUUUCACUGCAUGAGCUUGGCAGUGCUGCAGCAAUGUUGCCAUUUCCCAUCACUGUCCAGAUUGGUAUGAACCAACUUUGGAUCACUGAACAAUAAUCAGACCUCAGACACUUGAAUCAGUAUCAUAGCAUAUUAUAGUGCAGUUUAUGGACAUUUAAAUUUGAGUUUAAAUCUCCAAUUGCCUUGACAGUUCGUGUCCAGACUUAGCAGUUCAAUAGAACAUUCUGCUCAAUCAAAUGUAAAUUGAGAUAUUCAUAUCCAAUAUUUGGAUGAGUUCAUCAGUUCACUAGAGUUUAUCAGUUGCUUGAUAGCAGGGUUGAUUAAUCAAGGCUCACUGUUUGCAUCAUUGUCUCAAAAUGCACAUCUCUUGCUCCCCCAUAUAUCACGAAGAAUUCCACCCAGCAAACCUGUUUAGUCUCAUUCCAAUGACAACAGCUGUCCCUGUCAGUAAAUUACCAUCAUUUGAAUCCACUUAAUCCAGAAGCCAAGAACAUGUAUUAUGUUUUCAUUUAUUAUUCACACACACUACCCAAGAUUGUUCAAGGUGCAGCCUGAGAAUGCUGAUUGUGCAUGCUCCGUUCAGGGUCUUUAAUUUGUUUCUUACCUACAGCUCAAGAAUUGUGAACUUAUUUUUAAAUAACGUUGCACUUAGCUACAUUUUUCAUGUUCAUGCUUUCCUCCUUAAUAUCAUUUAUUUUGAGAUUCAAUUUUUUCAGCUAGUUCUGGAGAAACUGUGAAGUUGCAAAUGUUCUUGUGCAUUCUUAAAGUUUAUCGUUGGUCUUCUGCUCAAGAAAUUCAUGUCUGCAUUUACGACACACCAUUAAAAUUGAUAUUCUGUGGUAAAUUUUGUGACAUCUCCCUAAUCUGUUGUUGAACUUAAGUUUACUUUUGCUUUGGCAAGUGCAACACGAAAGAAUUCCAUCCUUUGGAUCGUGAUCAGUUGACACCAAAAGUGAGGUCUAAUGUCUCUUAUGCAUAGCACAGGUUUCCUCGUAUGAAUGUUCAAUAAGACUGGAAUUUGGCUGCAGCAGGAGUAAAAGCUUUCAGAAGAUCAUGUAUUUAUUGGCCUUUGUUUUGGAAGCCGCCUCCAACUUUGAGCAAGGGAGCUUAACCACGAAUCAUUAUAACAUUGGUUUAUUAAAGGACAUAGUUGUUGUCUGUCUAUAGAAUUCCCAAUCUGGACCUUUAAGUUCCCUGUCAUCAUCAUCCCACUUCCGAAUGCCAAAAAUAAACUCCUUUUUUGCUUGAA